rnacentral:tRNA from 1 species
AGAGUGUAGCUUAAUGGUAGAGUGUGUGCUUGGCAUGCAGGAGGCCCUGGGUUCAAUUCUCAGUACCUCUG